GCGGGCCUGGUGGAAUUGGCAGACACGCAAGAUUUAGGAUCUUGUGCCGCAAGGCGUGGGGGUUCAAGUCCCCCGGUCCGCACCA
rnacentral:tRNA from 1 species